rnacentral:rRNA from 1 species
AGCGAACGUUAGCGGCGGGCCUAACACAUGCAAGUCGAACGCGAAAGGUCUUCGGACUGAGUAGAGUGGCGCACGGGUGAGUAACACGUAGGUAAUCUACCCUUUGGCGGGGGAUAACGUUCCGAAAGGAGCGCUAAUACCGCAUAAGACCACGUGGUCUCCGGACCGAGUGGGAAAAGGUGGCCUCUUCUUGAAAGCUACCACCGAAGGAUGAGCCUGCGUCCCAUCAGCUAGUUGGUAAGGUAAUGGCUUACCAAGGCAAAGACGGGUAGCUGGUUUGAGAGAAUGAUCAGCCACACUGGCACUGGAACACGGGCCAGACUCCUACGGGAGGCAGCAGUGAGGAAUAUUGGGCAAUGGGCGAAAGCCUGACCCAGCCACGCCGCGUGAGUGAUGAAGGCCCUCGGGUCGUAAAGCUCUGUGGAGAGGGACGAAAAACCCUGGUUUCAAAUAGGCUCCAAGCUUGACGGUACCUCUUUAGCAAGCACCGGCUAACUCUGUGCCAGCAG